rnacentral:ncRNA from 1 species
GUUAAUUUCAAAUAUUGUCAAGGAUAAAUCCGUUGCAGACGACUUUAAUUGAACGGGGUAUUGUAAGCAGUAGAGUAGCCUUGUUGCUACGACCUGCUGAGAUUAAGCCCAUUGUUCUAUAGAUUUGU